GCAGGGGAUCGCAAGACCUUGCGCUGAUUGAGCGGCCGAUAUCAGAUUAGCUAGUUGGUGAGGUAAAAGCUCACCAAGGCGACGAUCUGUAGCGGGUCUGAGAGGAUGAUCCGCCACACUGGAACUGAGACACGGUCCAGACUCCUACGGGAGGCAGCAGUGGGGAAUUUUGGACAAUGGGGGCAACCCUGAUCCAGCCAUGCCGCGUGAGUGAAGAAGGCCUUCGGGUUGUAAAGCUCUUUCAGCCGGGAAGAAAAUGCAUGGGUUAAUACCCUGUGCAGAUGACGGUACCGGAAUAAGAAGCACCGGCUAACUACGUGCCAGCAGCCGCGGUAAUACGUAGGGUGCGAGCGUUUAUCGGAAUUACUGGGCGUAAAGCGUGCGCAGGCGGUUUUGUAAGACAGGCGUGAAAUCCCCGGGCUUAACCUGGGAACUGCGUUUGUGACUGCAAGGCUAGAGUACGGCAGAGGGGGGUGGAAUUCCACGUGUAGCAGUGAAAUGCGUAGAGAUGUGGAGGAACACCAAUGGCGAAGGCAGCCCCCUGGGUCGAUACUGACGCUCAUGCACGAAAGCGUGGGUAGCAAACAGGAUUAGAUACCCUGGUAGUCCACGCCCUAAACGAUGUCAACUAGGUGUUGGGAGGGUAAAACCUUUUAGUACCGUAGCUAACGCGAGAAGUUGACCGCCUGGGGAGUACGGCCGCAAGGUUAAAACUCAAAGGAAUUGACGGGGACCCGCACAAGCGGUGGAUGAUGUGGAUCAAUUCGAUGCAACGCGAAAAACCUUACCUACCCUUGACAUGUCAGGAACUUGCCAGAGAUGGCUUGGUGCCCGAAAGGGAACCUGAACACAGGUGCUGCAUGGCUGUCGUCAGCUCGUGUCGUGAGAUGUUGGGUUAAGUCCCGCAACGAGCGCAACCCUUGUCGUUAAUUGCCAUCAUUCAGUUGGGCACUUUAACGAGACUGCCGGUGACAAACCGGAGGAAGGUGGGGAUGACGUCAAGUCCUCAUGGCCCUUAUGGGUAGGGCUUCACACGUCAUACAAUGGUCGGUACAAAGGGUCGCCAACCCGCGAGGGGGAGCCAAUCCCAUAAAGCCGAUCGUAGUCCGGAUUGUAGGCUGCAACACGCCUGCAUGAAGUCGGAAUCGCUAGUAAUCGUGGAUCAGCAUGUCACGGUGAAUACGUUCCCGGGUCUUGUACACACCGCCCGUCACACCAUGGGAGCGGGUUCCGCCAGAAGUAGGUAGCCUAACCGCAAGGGGGGCGCUUACCACGGCGGGGUUCGUGACUGGGGUGAAGUCGUAACAAGGUA
rnacentral:rRNA from 1 species